AUGUUACAUCAAUCAGGGUCAGUAAUCAGUACUACUAAUUUCAGAGAAGACCUGUAUAGCAGUACUACUCCAUCGGCAAGCGUUCGGUGCUGGAUUUCUUUCAUGCCUAUGUGGUGUUGUGCCAUGGUCGCUCUCCCUCCUCCAGGGACUCAGCCAAGUCCGGCCUGGCCAUGCCUCCGUUCUCCCGCCAGCUGCGUGUUUGUGCUGUAUGUGCUUGACGCUGCAUGCUUGUUGGCUUGUCACUGGGUGCUUGUCGCUGCUGGCCUGCUGCAGCAGCCGCUGCUUUGCUGUAUAUAUUUGUAUAAUGCUUGCAUCUUGUAUGCAGCUAUGCUUUGUUUUAUACUAACAUUGUUGUUGCUGCUGCUGACCUGUUGA
rnacentral:rRNA from 1 species